rnacentral:sRNA from 1 species
AUCAAUUGAUUCAACAUUUUCGAGUAUGGAGUUAUUUACUAGAGAGAUUAUUCUUUCCAUUGCUGUCAUUGUUGUUUCUUCUUCGGGGAUUUGUAGAGCAGUGGAUUGUGGUGGCCCGCAAAUUUCAAGCACAAUCGUAGUUGGUAGCAGCUCAUCAAAUUUCACAUCAAUUCAAGAUGCCAUUGAUUCAAUACCGACAAAAAACUCCAAAUGGGUAAAAGUUCAGAUAAAUGCUGGCACAUAUAAAGAGAGGGUUACCAUCCCAGUGGAUAAGCCAUGCAUCUAUAUCCAGGGCCAAGGGGCAGAUGUUACCACCAUUACGAACGAUGACCACUCGGCAAGAAAUACUAGUGCCACAUUCACUUCCAUUUCAAACAAUGUUGUUGCAUCAGAUAUUACUUUUCAGAACUCGUACGGUUUGGAAAUGUUAGAAAAUAAGCUAAUACAUAAUAUCAGUUUUGGAAUAAGGAUUCCAUCGUUGGCUGC